rnacentral:lncRNA from 1 species
CUUUGAGCUGCUGGGUGGACGAGGGACGCGUUGUAUGAGGCACUCAGCACAGUGCCUGGUCCUCUUCAAAGUCAAGGCUCUAGGAACCAGGAGGGGUGGGCGCCAGGGGCUGCAGCCUGGGCUUCCUCCUGUUACGUCCUCCCACAUUCUAGGCUUCCUGUUACGACUGUUGCUUAGAACAGAACCGACAGGCUAAGGGGGAGCCCUUGUGUCUACCCUGCACCUUCCAUUUCCCGGUGGCAAUUUCUCCAUCAUCAGCAAGAUGGGGAUCCAAGCAAGAUUCCCGUUCCCUGUUCUCUACUGGCCAGUGGCCUCACCAAUGAGGUCUCCUACAAUAGGCUGGAAGUUAUGCAUUUCGAGAGCUGGACCAUGGUCCCAUAACUGAAUGUGCUGAUGCUCCUCCGUGGUGUCCAAGAACACUUUAUGAAAUAGGAAAAUGCUGCAGACCCCUGAAGCAGUACUCUGUGCCGUGAUGGACUUUGCAGGCUCUAGAUGGACCUCAAGAUGGGUCAAAGACUGAACUUGGGGAUGCUGGCCUGGGGCUGGGGUAUGGCUGGUCCAAGACCCAAGAAAAUUACUCUGAUGUUUCAAUAUUG